CGCAGAUUGCCGCAGCCAUCGCUGCCGGGGCUGCGGGGAUGGGGCCGGGCUGUGGAGUGCCACUCCAGCGCCACUCGGGGCUGAGCUCAGAGUGCCUCUCCUGGCGACGGGGACACCGCUCCAGCCGCCCGGGGACAGCGCUUUUCCGUCUCGUCACCGCCAGCCCGCGGGGAUGCGGCCCCAGCACUUCACCCCUUGAUCCCGCACACGCAGAGGGCACUGGAGGAGCUCCAGGAGCUCCAGGCAGGGCUCUGUGCCCGGGGAGUCACGGCACAGGGGCGGGGGACACCUCUGGGUGCCGGUCACACCUGGAGCCCUGGGCCUGCUGUGUCCCCUCCCGUGUCACAGGGAGCUGGGAAAGGUGGGACAGACCCGUGGCCAGGGUGAGGUGGGCAGAGCCCCAGAGCCCCUCCUCACCACAGGGACACGGGGCUGGUGCUGAGGGGAUUUCUGGGAGGAUUUUGGGCAGAAGUGCCGCUCUGGUUUGGGUUGGGAGGAACCUCCAAGCUCCUCUCAUCCCCCCAGACCAGGUUGCUUUUCAUUUUCUCUCCCGGAGCUGGUUUUAUCUUGAAAAUCUCCUUGAGAAAAGUGGCUUUUUCACAAGCAAUCAUCCCGCCCUGAGCAGUGCACCAGGAUCAGCCAGCUCACCCCAAACCCGGCCCUGGAUGGCCCCAGGAAUCGAUCCGUGAAAUAUUUCCCUGCUGAGUCACAGGGGAGCAGCCAAGCCAAACUCCUGGCCAGGUUUGAGGGAAGGAUUGCUUGGGAACAGAACAGCAGGCGAGUGUUGGAACCCUGGUCACAUCGAUUUAUGAAGCAAAAUGGGGGUUUGAGGGGGGAGGUUUGUCCUUCUUCUUCACCUUCUCCUUCAUGGGUUUGGGUGUUUUGUAGCUGGAUAGAAAAAUCUGCCUUGUGGGCCAUGGGUGGGUGGUUAUUGGGGCAAAAAUAAAAAUAAUUUAAGUGUCAUUUCUUAAUUGGGCAGUUUAUCCUUAAAAGGCCUUGUAGAGAGAGACACAGCUCCAAUUUUAGUUUGUUGGCUUGAGGUGCUGCAGGACUCAGUUUGUGGGAGUGUGACAGAGACAACAACCAAUAAACAUCUGAGCCUGAAGGUGAAAUUCCAUAUUGAGCACUUAAUCCUGACCCUAAAAAAGGGAAUAAAAUGUGACAUAGGUGAGGAAGAUUCCUGUGCUGGCAGCUGAGGAGCUCCCACCCAGUGCAGGCCGGGCUCUGGGUGUCGCUGGCACCAGCAGUGGGUGGCACAGGGACCAGGGUGUGCCAGGGGCUGGGACGGGGCUGAUGGAAGGCAGAGCUGUUGUUGUUAGGGCUGACCUUGUCCCCAGGCUCUCCCUCAGAUCCAAAGGUCACAGCAGAGCAAACAUUUCCCGAAGGACUGGAGCCAGCCCAGGACAGGAUGCAAAUAUCCCCGGGGAACAAACAAACACCUGGGGGAGGCUGGCCAGGGCUGCAGGGAGUGCUGGAAUCCACCCCAGAGGGACAUGGAGGGGAUUGGACACUCUGUGCCAGCCCCAGAGCUGCUCCAGCUCCAGGGGACAACGUCACAGAGCCACAGAGUCACAGAGUCACAGUCACAGAGUCACAGAGUCACAGAAUCACAGAAUUACAGAAUCACAGAAUCACAGAAUUACAGAAUCACGGAAUCACAGAGUCACAGAAUCACAGAGACACAGAGUCACAGAAUCACAGUCACAGAGUCACAGAGCCACAGAGUCACAGUCACAGAAUCACAGAAUCACGGAAUUACAGAAUCAGAGAAUCAUGGAAUUACAGAAUAACAGAUUCACGGAAUCACAGAAUUAUAGAAUAAUGGAAUCACAGAAUCACAGAAUCACAGAAUUACAGAGGGGGGGGGGGGGGGGGGGG
rnacentral:lncRNA from 12 species